ACUUGUUCUGCAGACCAGACUAGCCUUGAAAUCAGAGAUUCACCUGCCUCUGCCUCCCAAGUGUUGGAAUUAAAAGCAUGAGUCAUCAUGCCUGGCUCUAAAAUAGAGAUUUUGCUCUCAGUUUUAAGAGAAAAUUUUGCCCCUAGUCCUUUUGUUUUUAUUAAUGGGUAUGAUGUCCUUGUCAACUUGACUAAUCUGGAAUUAACUAAAACUAAAACAUGGAAGAUACACCUGCAAGAGACUUUUGUUUAAAGUGGAAAGAUCUACUUCUAAUCCAGGAUCUUUGAGGUGGGAAGACACCCCUUUAAUCCAGAUCUUUUGAACUGGAAGUUCCAUCACUGAUCUGGGCCACACGUUCUGAUGGAGAUCUAUAUAAGGAGAUGAAAAGGAAGCUUUUACUCCUUGCCUGCUUUGCUAUCAAGUAUAUUCCUUCACUGGCAUUGGAGCCUACUUCUUUGAAAUUCUGGCUUAUACUGAAGACCAGCUGAGACAUUCAGCCUGUGAACCAAACAACUACUGGACUCUUGGACCUUCCAUUCACAGCCAGCUACUGUUGUAUUAGCUAGACUACAGCCUGAUAGCAAUUCUAGGGAAUCCCCUUUCUAAAUACAUUCAUUCUCUAAGUUCUGUUCCCCUAGAGAAUCCUGAUUAAUACAGAAGGGUUGUAUGGUAUAGCCCAGGCUAGUCUUGAACUCCCAGCAAUCCUUGUGCCAGAACUUUCCAAUUCCAUGAUCACGGGUAUAAACCAUAUAACUGGCUCAUCUAUCCAAUUUCUACUCCUAAAAUAGUUUUCAAAAUCAAAGGAUCAGCAUUAAACUUGCCUGUAUAUGAGGAAAAUUUAAAGUUCUAAACAGAAAAGAAUUACACAGCAGCUACAAGAGAUUUGGAGGCCCUUUCUAUCAUCCCCAAAACUAUAAAUGUAGUUCAAUGAAUCUAAAAUGUUUAUUCUUCUGUCUGGAAUUUUGGUACAUGCCAUGAAGACAGUCUCUAUUUUUUUCCUCCUUCAAGGCGAAGACAGGGUUUCUGUAUGUAUCCUUGGCUGUCUUGGAAUUUGCUCUAGAGACCAGACUCGCCUCGAACCCAGAGAUAUGCCUGUCUCUGCCUCCUCUGUGCUGGGAUCAAUGGUGUGCCUACAUGUCAACCUCAAUAAAAAGCCUGGCAUCCAGUCUAAUGAGCUUCUUUGGGAGGCAGAGCUCCAAACACAGUGAUGGUUUGGAGGAACUAUAGGACUUGUCCUAUGUGCCUCUGCUGGAGAAGACUCUUAGAAGCUUUUUCCUUUUGCUGAUUCUGCUCUGUAUUUUCUUGUGACAACUGGAGAUCUGAGUAUGGCUGCAUGCUGAGUCCUGCUAGGAAUCACUGAUCCAUGGACACAUAGUCUACCAGAUCGAGUGAGGACCACAGUUUCUCUCAUGUUCUCACCUCUUCAAUGUUGGAGAUUUUACAGGUUUCUGGCCUCUCACAAUCUUUGGAAAAGGAAGCACUAUAAAUCCAGACACAAGUGGCGGCAAGUACACUUACACCCACGUUAAGUCUUUCAUCUAGUAACCUGAAAUGUUGUAGGGAUAGUUUUGAGGAUUUGUUUUUAUUUUUAAAAAAGAAGUAUUUUUUUCUUCUUUUUUAAACAGAGAAACACCUGCAUUGAAAAGCUGGGUAAUACCAAUGCCUGAGGUGCUGAAGUCUCAAGAGAGCUGGAGAAGGCUUAUGUCCAAUGCAGAGAAACAUGAGGAUGACGAUGUCUAGGGUAAAGGGAUGCUUCCCUUGACAGGUCCUCACAUUAUGACAUAUUUGAGCUCUAUCACAAGAGACCUGAGCCUGUCUACUUAAAAGUUAACCCCUCCUCGUUUUUGAGACAAGGUCUUAUGUAUCAAUCUGGUCUUGAACUUCCUAUAUAGCUGAAGAUGACCAACUUUUGGUCUUCCUGCCUCUUUCUUCAAACUGCUGAGAUUAUAAGCAUGUUACCACACCCAUUUUAUGGAGUGUUGGAGAUCCAACCCAGGGCUUCAUGUAUGCUUGGGAAUUAACUCUAUCAAUUCAGCUAACUAAAGUCCCAACCUGAAAAAGAUAAAACAAAUAUAUGGCCUGACCUUGAAACUUGGUUCAACCAGAAUUGAACUCCAGGGGACCACAAAGAAAGAAGAAAAAAAACAAUCAGACACUAUUCCCUGAAGAGUUAUGACAAGUGUGGUGGUUUGAAUAGGAAUGGCCCCAUAGACUCAAGUGCUGGAAUGUUUGGCCCAUAGGGAGUGGCACUAUUAGGUGUGAGUGACCUUGCUAGAAGAAGUGUGUCACUGUGGGAUGAGGCUUUGAGAUCUCAUAUGCUUAAGCUACAGCCAGUAUGGAAUACAGUCUCCUGCUGCUGCCUGCUGACCACGUCUGCUUACAUGUUGCCAUGCUUCUCGCCAGGAGGACAAUGGACUGAACUUCUGAAACUGAAACUGAACUCAAGGAUUUAUGGUUGUCAUGUAAGCACUCUGUCACUGAGGCUCAUCCUAAUCCUUCAUCCGUUACCUGUCAACAUUUAUUCCAUUUGGUAUUCAAAUCCCUUAACCAAGUUCCAAAGUAAAACAACCAAGGAAGAAAACUGGAACUCUAAAACCAUGUGGAAAAUGAAAACCCUAUUUAAUAGGAUACUGAACUUCUCAGAAGAUACACACCUUUUAAGAACAAUUGGAACAGCAAUGGAGGGAUUCUUCCUCAGACCAUCAAUGAUAUCAGCUGCUUUAUCGGCAUAUAUCCUCUGCAGUGCUUUCCUAUGGAUGACUUCUGAGGUGCCCCCAAGGGUGUUAUCCAAGCGAAAUUUGGCUUGUUCCUCAGCAGACAAGCGUGAAAGUUUUUUCUGUAUUGCUUCCAGAACCCGGAUUGUUGCAAGAUUGGUCUCUAAAACUACAUCAAGCUUAAAACAAAACAAAAGAACAGAAGAGUGUGCUCAGGCCCAAAACCAGAAUAUAGCAGAGCUGGGAGAAUAAGGAGUGUCCAAUCCCUUGAGAUUGGAGUCAUGGUUUCUAUACAAGCCACGUAAGACUCUCUACAAUAAGCUGUGAACAAUGGCACCUGCUACUUUCAUAAAGCUGUCUUCUGGAAGCACAUAAAGUGAUCAGCAGUCAUCAUACCUAUCACAACUUCCACACACUGUUUAGCACCACUGACCACAGGCCAGUGGGACCUAAGAGAAGUCUACUACUCUACUGAUAUAUUUCCUUACACUUUUGCUUAUACUGAGACAAGGCCUUACAAUGGAUGACCUGGAACUUGCAAUAUAGACUAGACGGGCCUUCAACAUAUGGCAAGUUCUUGCCCCUGCUACCUAAAGGCUGGGAUUACAAAUGGUUAGCAGAUAAUAAGAACACUUGUCAUCAAACCAGACCACCUGAACCUGGCGUCUGAACCUGGAAACCCACAUGGUAGGAGACAAACAGCUGACAAGCUGUCUCUGCUCUCCACAAGCAGAUCACAGCUUACAUGCAUAUAUACUUAUCAACCAAAUAAAUGAAAACUUAAAAAAAAUUCUGGCCCUGGUACUAUCAUUACACUCUUUUGAAGAAUCUGAAGA